CCACUCAGAUUGAUGAGAUGCCGAUGAACGUUGCUGAUCUUAUCUGAAGCAGCAGAUCAGUUGGAUGAGGGAGACUGUUCACCUGCUGUGUACUCCUGUUUGGAAGUAUUUGGAUCCAGAUUCUACUUGAUGGGGUUUAUAUGGACUUUCUUCUCAUAAAUGGCCUCCCGUCUCCCUUCCUUUGAAGAGGAUAUGGGGAUUCUGCU
rnacentral:lncRNA from 1 species